rnacentral:rRNA from 1 species
UACGGAGGGUGCAAGCGUUAUCCGGAUUUACUGGGCGUAAAGGGCGCGUAGGCGGUCAGCACAAGUCAGUUGUGAAAUCUCCGGGCUUAACCCGGAGCGGUCAAGUGAUACUGUCGUGCUAGAGUGCGGGAAGGGGCUACUGGAAUUCUCGGUGUAGCGGUGAAAUGCGUAGAUAUCGAGAGGAACACCUGCGGCGAAGGCGGGUAGCUGGGCCGACACUGACGCUGGAUGCGCGAAAGCCAGGGGAGCGAACGGG